rnacentral:rRNA from 1 species
AGUAACGCGUGAGGAACCUGCCUCAAAGAGGGGGACAACAGUUGGAAACGACUGCUAAUACCGCAUAAGCCCACAGCUCGGCAUCGAGCAGAGGGAAAAGGAGCAAUCCGCUUUGAGAUGGCCUCGCGUCCGAUUAGCUAGUUGGUGAGGUAAUGGCCCACCAAGGCGACGAUCGGUAGCCGGACUGGGAGGUUGAACGGCCACAUUGGGACUGAGACACGGCCCAG